rnacentral:rRNA from 1 species
UACGUAGGUCCCGAGCGUUGUCCGGAUUUAUUGGGCGUAAAGCGAGCGCAGGUGGUUUAAUAAGUCUGAUGUAAAAGGCAGUGGCUCAACCAUUGUAUGCAUUGGAAACUGGUAGACUUGAGUGCAGGAGAGGAGAGUGGAAUUCCAUGUGUAGCGGUGAAAUGCGUAGAUAUCGGGAGGAACACCGGUGGCGAAAGCGGCUCUCUGGCCUGUAACUGACACUGAGGCUCGAAAGCGUGGGGAGCAAACAGG